rnacentral:rRNA from 1 species
AUUGAACGCUGGCGGAAUGCUUUACACAUGCAAGUCGAACGGCAGCACGGACUUCGGUCUGGUGGCGAGUGGCGAACGGGUGAGUAAUACAUCGGAACGUGCCCAGUCGUGGGGGAUAACGUAGCGAAAGCUACGCUAAUACCGCAUACGAUCUACGGAUGAAAGCGGGGGAUCGCAAGACCUCGCGCGAUUGGAGCGGCCGAUGGCAGAUUAGGUAGUUGGUAGGGUAAAGGCCUACCAAGCCGACGAUCUGUAGCUGGUCUGAGAGGAUGAUCAGCCACACUGGGACUGAGACACGGCCCAGACUCCUACGGGAGGCAGCAGUGGGGAAUUUUGGACAAUGGGCGCAAGCCUGAUCCAGCCAUUCCGCGUGCAGGAUGAAGGCCUUCGGGUUGUGAACUGCUUUUGUACAGAACGAAAAGGCUCUGGUUAAUACCUGGGGCUCAUGACGGUACUGUAAGAAUAAGCACCGGCUAACUACGUGCCAGCAGCCGCCGUAA